UCCAAGCAACAGACAUGCAUACAAUCCCCAUGUGGAUUUUACAAUUACAUAUUAUGGUUCUACAAAAAUAAUGCAACAAAAAUCUGCCAUUUAGUACAUCCUUAUGAAACUGCUACUGUUUAGUACUAAAAACAAUAGAAAUGAAUGGCUUCAAAUAUAAAAGGGGAUUCUAACAUCUUAAAAAGAUAUAAUUUAAUCCAUUGAGAAGGCCAAGUUUGUUUAUACUGCAUUAUGGAUGUUUAAAAUGAUUUUGAGUCUAUGACAAGUCUAUUAGAUCGGUGCAUGGGCUAUUUGUCCAGGUUCCACAAAAGAAAAAAAAACUUAGGCAGCUUCUUCCAAUCAAAUUCAACCAAUACUAGCUAUCAAGUGUUUCCUGAAUCAUAAUUGGCUAUUUAGCCUAUUUGGCUCAUCUCAUAGGGGUUUCAACCUUAUACAUAUACCAUAUACAAAAAGAAAUUUUUCAAGAUCAGUACAGGAAAUAUAUAGUGAAAAAAAAAUUUGGUAAAAUUAGUAAAUUAUGAUUUUGGAAAAAUAUUUCAAAACUAAAUCAAAUUUUUUUUCACUAAAAUGAGUUAUUCUACCACUACACAUCUUCAGUUGGGUAAAGGUAAAUAUGCAUUAGGAAACCAAAAAGAUUUCAUAUCAUCCAAGAUUUAUAUAAUAUAAUUGAAAAACCCUAUUAGCUAACUUUUUUGUCUCAUUUCACUACAUAGGAUCAAAGAUUCAAUAGGUACAAAGAACAUCAUACCUCAACCUUAAAUUAUUCAAAUAUACAAUUAAUAUGAAGAAGGGUAAAUCUUACCUAUAUGCCAAUGUCAUACACUGAAAUAAUUUGGAUAAACUAGUAUCAAUCUCCAAA